rnacentral:rRNA from 1 species
GACGAACGCUGGCGGCGUGCUUAACACAUGCAAGUCGAACGAAAAGGCCCUGCUUUGUUGGGGUGCUGGAGUGGCGAACGGGUGAGUAACACGUGAGUAACCUGCCAUUGCCUUUGGGAUAACUUCAGGACACUUGGGCUCAUACCGGCUAGGAGUUCCUGCUGCAGGGUGGGGUUGGAAUGUUUCGGCGGGUGGGGAUGGACACGCGGCGUGUCAGCGUGUUGGUUGGGUAGUGUCUUACCAAGGCUUUGACGGGUAGCAGACCUGAGAGGGUAACCGGACAAAUUGGAACUGAAAUACGGCCCGGACCCCUAUGGGAGGCAGCAGAGGGGAAUAGUGCACAAUGGGCGGAAGCCAGAUGCAGCAACGCCGCGUGCGGUAAGACGGCCUGCGGGUUGUAAACCGAUUCCGCCUGAGACGAAGCGUGAGUGACGGUAAUGGGUAAAGAAGCACCGGCUAACUACGUG